GACGAACGCUGGCGGCGUGGAUUAGGCAUGCAAGUCGAACGGUAUCAUCCUUUCGGGGGUGAGAGAGUGGCGAACUGGUGAGUAACACGUAGGUUAUCUACCCUCAAGACGGGGACAACCCAGGGAAACUUGGGCUAAUACCGGAUGUGAGCAACUUUUAGUUGUUUGAAAGGUGGCGUAAGCUGUCGCUUGGGGAUGAGCCUGCGUCCUAUUAGUUAGUUGGUGAGGUAACGGCUCACCUAGGCAAUGAUAGGUAGGCGGCCUUAACGGGUGGUCGCCCACACUGGGAUUGAGAUACGGCCCAGACUCCUACGGGAGGCAGCAGUCGAGAAUAGUCUACAAUGGUCGGAAGACUGAUAGUGCGACGCCGCGUGAACGAUGAAUCCCUUCGGGGUGUAAAGUUCUUUUAUAUGUGAGCAGUGCUUUCUUAUAUUAACAGUAUGGGGAGAGAGAUAUUAGCAUAUGAAUAAGCAAACGGCUAAACUCCCGUGCCAGCAGCCGGGGUAAA
rnacentral:rRNA from 1 species